AUCCCUCUGCCAAUACAUGACUGCAGAUAACUUGUUAAUCUGACCCAUGUCCAUCUUGAGUAAAAUCUGGAAGGAUCGGCUGCCACGGCGUGUAAGUCCAGUGGCUCCUCCAGAGCUGGCUCAGGCAGCGAGCUUCAUCCAGCUGCAGG